UGUCCUGAUGGAUGUAGUCGUGGUUCUGUCGGUCAGCUGCGGCUCCACAGGUUAACAGGUGACUGUUUCAAAACGACUCUCUGUUUGCUGAGAUAAAUUCACACAGACUGCAGAUCAUCAUGAGACUCAUUACACACAACAACACACUCGUCCUUGUCUUUGUGUGUCUCCUGUUGCUGAUGUCAUCGGUGUGUGACGAAGAUGAAUGCGUCGCUGUGUCGGCCAUGUUGGAUCGGCAGCAGACAAACUGUGUCUCUUUGUGUUUCAAUUCAAUUAUGUUGAUUUUUCUGGAAUCCAGAACAACAAGCAGGAAUUCAACUUCUCCUGCUGCAGCGCCAAACAGAUCUUUAACGUCCAGAUCAUGUGCAACGUCCAGCUAAUAAAAAGUGUAAUCAGGAAAAUGUACUUAAAAAAGUGCCAUCCUCAACCAACAGGCCACCUGCAACAUUAUUAACAAUCAGAGCCGGAGCGUCCUAUACGUGCACUACGUAAAUGAAGCAGGACCUCGUGUGAGUGUUUACAAUUUUGAAGAGAAGAUGAAGAAUGAUUAUCGUUCUGGGCACAAGAAGAGAACGAGCUCAGACUGACCAGCAGUCAGUACAUGACCCCCUGUCAGCCACAACAACCAGAAGGCAGCAGCAGAUGGUGGGUCUACGGAGAACAGGAUGGAGCUGCAGAGUGAUCCGGUUCUGCACAAUGGGUGAAAUUUGAACACCAGACCUUUUGGCUUGUUGCCUGUCACUGUAGGACGAACUGCGCCUCUUCCACUGGAGAACCAGCUGCAAAAUAAAGACGCACAUCAAAUACAAAGAGUGGUUGGUGGCAGAUCAAGGAUCAGGACAUCCGUACUUCAAACUGGACCAGAGGCCCCAGACACCUCGGGCCCCAGGGCUUGUUCAUGGAACAAUCCUGAUUACAUGUAAAAAAAAAAAAAACACGUCUACAGCAUCAGUACAUUAUACAGCAAAGAGAGAGAGGGAGAGAAUCUGCAGCUCUGUAACACGGACUCACUAAACUGAACAUUUCUGAUGACAGAUCUGUGCUGCUGUUUACUGUCGCCACAAUGACCAUCUGCAGAGAGUUGACUGGAUGACAGAGAACCUUCACAGACAUCUAUUUCUUUGUGAUUAAGAACUCUGAGUUGCAGAUUCAGUCAAACAGCCCAACUGAAAUAAAACGCAGAAACAAGACAUUAAAACAUUUUGCCCAAUGAAGUCUUAACACAUGCCCGAGCCGAUUUGUGACUACUACUAAAAAAGAAACAGAGACAGAUGUUUCCCUCAGGUCUUGAGUGUUGCAUUGUUUGCCCACCAGAGGGCGCACUGCCUCGAUACGAAACAAAAGAAUGAGCUGACCGGAGUCGACGGAGCGUGCACAAGCAGCAGCGUGUUUAAUGCUACAGUCGGUGAGCGCUGGAGGUUACGCUGCUGACAGACCUGACCGUAGAUUAACAGGGGGACCGUUCUACUGAACGGUCCCCUCAUUUCUCUCAAGUUCAUCACUUCAAAGUAAUUCACGUGUUUAUCAGAGGAGGAGCGGCAACAUUAAAGGCGGUUAAAGUAAAGUUUUUAACGAAUUCUAAAUAUAUCUGCCAUUGUCUGCCAUCCCUGCAAGGCUAGUAAGUAGGAACAAUGGAGCAGCGGAGAGAGAGGACGACCCUGAACAAAUUCAGGUCAAGCAGCGUACAGCAGCAGAGUGGACAUUUCACAGCAGCACUAGGGUGACGCACGAGCAUCUUAAACACGAGCACCCUGGAGCCGUUGCGUCUCACGCCGGGGUACGUUUUUAGCGACCGCUUGCUGGUUAAGCCAACUGGCUGUAAUGUAAAGUUUGUUAGUGUACCUGUCAGAAAACAAGGUGCCGGCCAAGAGAACGGACUACGAGGACCACCAGCACAUUUUAGACACAGAGGACAGAUGGUCAAGGAAUCCAUUUACAGCCGGGUCCAGAAACUGUCGCUUAACGGGGGAGGAGGUCUGAGACACCACUUAUCUUCCUCCAACAACCGUCCUCUCAUCUCUUCCCAGGAAACAAAACGAACGUUCUCUUUUGGCCUCAGGUGGCUCCAACGACCAUAAACCCUGUCGUUACAACAUCCAGGAGCCCUAACGACCCAAACAGUUCUCCAAAGAAGGUUCACAGAGACAGACUCACCAGAGUCCACAGAGACAGACUCACCAGAGUCCUCAAAGAAGACUCACCAGAGUCCACAGAGACAGAUUCACCAGAGUCCUCAAAGAAGACUCACCAGAGUCCACACAGAAGACUCACCAGAGUCCACAGAGACAGACUCACCAGAGUCCACACAGAAGACUCACCAGAGUCCAGAGAGACAGACUCACCAGAGUCCUCAAAGAAGACUCACCAGAGUCCACAGAGACAGACUCACCAGAGUCCACAAAGAAGACUCACCAGAGUCCACAGAGACAGACUCACCAGAGUCCUCAAAGAAGACUCACCAGAGUCCACAGAGACAGACUCACCAGAGUCCACACAGAAGACUCACCAGAGUCCAGAGAGACAGACUCACCAGAGUCCUCAAAGAAGACUCACCAGAGUCCACAGAGACAGACUCACCAGAGUCCACAAAGAAGACUCACCAGAGUCCACAGAGACAGACUCACCAGAGUCCUCAAAGAAGACUCACCAGAGUCCACAGAGACAGACUCACCAGAGUCCACACAGAAGACUCACCAGAGUCCAGAGAGACAGACUCACCAGAGUCCUCAAAGAAGACUCACCAGAGUCCACAGAGACAGACUCACCAGAGUCCACAAAGAAGACUCACCAGAGUCCACAGAGACAGACUCACCAGAGUCCUCAAAGAAGACUCACCAGAGUCCACAGAGACAGACUCACCAGAGUCCACACAGAAGACUCACCAGAGUCCAGAGAGACAGACUCACCAGAGUCCUCAAAGAAGACUCACCAGAGUCCACAGAGACAGACUCACCAGAGUCCACAAAGAAGACUCACCAGAGUCCACAGAGACAGACUCACCAGAGUCCUCAAAGAAGACUCACCAGAGUCCACAGAGACAGACUCACCAGAGUCCACACAGAAGACUCACCAGAGUCCAGAGAGACAGACUCACCAGAGUCCUCAAAGAAGACUCACCAGAGUCCACAGAGACAGACUCACCAGAGUCCUCAAAGAAGACUCACCAGAGUCCACAGAGACAGACUCACCAGAGUCCACAGAGACAACUAGAGAUUUAAUAUCUGCAGAAUUAACACAGUGAUGUCACUCUGUCUACAGGAAAUGAGUCAUUCAGUUUGCUGAUGAUGACAUCACAGUUGCUUUACUGCCAAAUGGAUGUGUGCGUGUAUGUGUGUGUGUGUGUGUGCGUGUAUGUGUAUGUGUGUGUGUGUGUGUGUGUGAACAUCAUCAGACGUGCAGAAUUCAGUUUGAGGACUUUGAAACAUGUUGUAAACACGUACACGAGGGCGCGCAUGAAUCUCCAUUAUCAGAGAGUCACUUAGUCUCGGGCUGCGGAGAACCAUGUGACCCUGAAGACUUGCCGCCGGGUCCCUUACUGACCCAAUUAAGGGAGAUUUGGAAGCAGCAUCCUGAUUAGUAAAAUAAAGUUACACAAAACGUUA